rnacentral:lncRNA from 1 species
CAGGAACAGAAAAACCGCAAGUUCGCCAUGGCCUUGUGAGCUGGCCACACUGGCAUGCAGAACAAACUAGUGGAGGUAGGGGCUCCAGGGGCCAAGGUGGACCUGCUGCCAACAUGCCCGCACCUGCCAGCCUCCUCCAGAUGGCUUGGGGACCACAGCUUCCCCUCAAGGUGGCCGAGCCCACAGACCCUGUGAGCUCCAGUGAGGCCCACUCCCAGCUCAUAUGCCAAGAGGACACCAAGGGGGUCCCAGGGUGCCUGCCCCACCGCUUAUCUGGUGUUGCUGAGACCUGCCCUUGGCCACAGGUGGCUCCGGCCACUGUGCAUUGUGGUGAGGGACCUCAGCAUCUGCAGCUGUGGGAGGCCUGAGGCCCCUGCCUGUGGCAGUAGGCUGGAAGGGUCCCCAAGCCCCGGCUUGGACUUUGGUUUGGUGUCCAGGAAUGCCCUGGUCUGCCUCUGGCUCUGGGUUUCGCUCACCAGGCACCCCCUUCCUCACUCCUGAGCUGCCCCAGGGCAGGAUCUGGACACCCCAACGUGCUGACCACUGGGGCCCUCCCCAUCCUCCAAGCCUUGUGUAGGCGGGGCCUAGCCAUGUGGUGGGUCCUGACAAAUCAGGAAGGCCCUGCCUGCUCAGGGGGUCUGCAGGGGUCCAGGCUGAGGGUCUCCUUCCCAGUCUAAGCUCAGGUGAGGACGUCAGCCCUGUCCCCAGAGGUGCCAACCUGCACCAGCCUCUGCCCCUCUCUAAGAAGAGCACUGGGCCUGGGCUGCCCUUUCCAAAGAUCCCCCAAAGUCACCCCCUUCCCAGUGAGGGGUCUCCAACACAGAGCCCUGAAAAGAGGGAGGCUAUGUAUCCCACCUUUCCCCAAGGGCAAGGAGGGACAGGACACCCCCAUGUCACGCCUGCAUCAGGAGCAGGGCUGCCAGUGGACAAGCAAUCCUGACCCUGUGGAUGACCCCUGGGGCACCCUAGGGUGGGAAAAGAUGGGGUCUCCCCAGGGAAGAGGGGGCAGCUGUGUGGGCCUCAGGACCCAGGAGGGAGGGUGUCAAGAGUCGGAGACCAGAGCAGGAACUCCAGUUCAGCUCCACCGCCACAGGGCUGACCGCGGGCUGACCGUGCUGGCCCCCACCAGGCCCAAACCUCCUGACCCAGCUGCCCACUUCCUCCUCCAGCAAACUGCAGGCUCAGCUCCGGAGGCUGCAGGAGCCGGUCCAGGGCCAGCAGGCCCAGAUGGUGCCUGGAGAGCCAUGCUCUCAAGCCAAGGUAAAGACUCCAGGGCCUGAGGGCGGGGGCGCUGGCCCCCCGGAGGGCUGGGCAGGCACCACCCAGGGUCCAGCAGCAGGGGCCAGCCAGAGCUGCCCACCUGAGGAAUAGUGUUUCCAGGCCCCAGGCCUGUCCACAUCUCUGGGCCAAAGUUCCUGGACAAGCCCUGGAAGCCCCUGACCCUGCAGAUCUAAGGGGGGCCGGGAGGGGCCAGGUCUUCCCCUGGCACCCUGUCACAAGUCUGGCCUCUCCCACCUCUCUGAAGGCCUCUGUCCUCUCUGUAGUGCCACCAGCAAGAGUGAAGGUCCACAUGGGGCCAGCAGGCAGGCAGAGGGACCCAGGACCACCGCCCAUGCUCACAGGGUCCUUGCCCGCCGCCCAGCUCUGUGCACAGCCUCGCACGGGUCUCCCGACUCUGCACAGCCAGGUCCACCAGGGCCCUGCGGUGGGGCCCCGACCCCACCCAAGCAGCCGAAGGUGGCAGGGUGGCUUCCUGAACACAGGGACAGUGGGUGGACAGGCUCUGAUCUGAAAAUGUGGGUGUGAGCAGGGUGCUGUCCACCACGGCCAGAGUCCAGGACCCAGAGCCAGCCGGGGUGGCUCUCUGCAGGCAUGCAGCUGCCCACAGGGCUUUGCUUCCUGUCCAGCUUUCAGCUCUGCCUGGUGGUCUGGGGCCUCCAUGCCACCAAACCUAUCAGCAUCAAAAAGUGCCUCUACACUGACUGGAGAGACUCGUGCCAACGGCCAAGGUGGGUCCUGCCACAGUGCGCGAGGUGGCCGUGCAUGGAGCCAGGGGUCCUGGGUGCCCCAUGGUGCCUCCCAGUACCUCCAGGCCCACUGGUGAAGGUCCUGGAGACUGAGACUCUCCAGGAUGGAAGGCCCAUGUAUGUCGGUCCCCCUUGAGUCCCUCGGGCUUCCUGGGCUCUGGCACCAGGCUGAAACCAGGCCCACUGCUUGUAGCAGGUUAUUUAUGGUGUUUGUGUAAAAACCACUAUGGCCGUUAUCCACAAGUGUGGCUGAGCGUGUUGGGCCGGUAGUCAAAGACGGGUAAGAUCCAAUUACAAUGGUACCAACCUAAGACAGGAGGCUGACGAUUUGAGGUCAGACCAUACAAUGACGGGUAAGGACCAUAUGAAGUAUUGGACAACCUAAACCAGGCACGGUCCCUAAGCCACAUACUUGUUCUUUAAAUUAAACAAAAGGGGGAAAUGUUAGGGUCUGUAAACAAGUCAAGAUGGCGCCUGGCACUUUGCCAGAGGGAGUGGUUUGUGAAGUAACGCCAGCGAGCCAUUAAGAUGAUAGAGAUUCCUUAAUGACUGACUGCUGUGCCUAGAUUAUGUCAAUUAAGUUAAGCUGUGUGUAAUCAUUAAGAUGAUGAGGAUUCCUUAUUGGUUGACUGCUGUACCUAGUUUAUGUUAAUUAAGAUAAUUAAGAUAGUUAAGUAUAUAUACCUCUGCCGUCCAGCAAUAAAGCUGCUCCUGCUGUAUUAAUCCUCACAAGUUGCUUGUCACACCCCCUGGUUAUUUGGCUGUAGCCAGACUGCGGCACAAACCCAGAAGGCUGUGUGUUACAGUGAUUAUGACAACGUGUCUUUGGCCCUGAAUAAGCUACACGCCCACAUAUCGCUACAGACAAAGUUGGCCCUAUUGCCUCAGCUUCAGUUGCUCCUGCUGUGUGGACAUGGAGAUGUGGACGGAGGAGCACUGUGUCCAGCUGCUCUCCAGCAGGCCACAGUAGCUCCAUGUCCUUUGCACUGUGGUUGUAGGCUCUGGUUACAAAGUGUCCCCUGAUGUGCCACCAGGGGACAUUACAAAAGAUGGCAUGGUAAGAUUGUGGGGCCUUGCAGGCACCGUGAGUAGAACGUGCCAUCCUGAAGGAAAGGAGGAACCCAUGUCCCUCUCCAUGCCUGAGCACUAGCGGGUUCAAGGACGGGAGCAUGGGUUUGGGCUGCAAGGUCCAGAUGUGACUUGUCCCGAAGGACGUGUGCUGUCACAGAGUGACUCCCUGCACACAGACCAGGCUCCUCGGGAGCUGGUCACCACUGGACAGGGCCCCAGAGGGACAGAGGUGUGCUUUCUGGGGAAGCGCUGGAGGUAGCAUGAGAACCAGGACCUCUGGACGUCCUCAUGGGCAUUCCACACCCCGUCUCCGUCUCCGUGGGGUCUUUGGUGUCUUGAUGACCUAUCUCACUGCCCAGAACAAUGAGGCUGUGGACAUUGAGAAGGGAGGAGGGAGGAGGGGCAGAGGGCAGGAGGGAGAGGUGGAGAGGGAGAGGAGCCGCGUUAGGAGAGAGGAGGCGCCGUCAUGACAAAGCCUGGACAUGGCGCUGAGUCACUGCGCCCAGCUCCCUGUGGGAUGGUGAGGGCGGUGCCCCGGGGCCCCCGACUCUGUUAAGCUGAAACACAACCAAGACAGAAAGUCGGGAGGCCGAGAGGCUGGGCCCACCUGGUCCAGCGUGGACGAGCUUCGGGGCAGCCGUCCUGGGUGCCAGCCGAGCCAGGGGCUGGAGGCCUGCCCUCGACGCUGCCUUGUGCCGGCCAUCCCUGCUGGACCACGAGCAGGCAGGAGCCCAAGGCAGGAAGGUGAGCUCUUCCUCCCAAUCUCUCCACUGCGAAGGGGCCAGGUGCUGGGUAAGGGAGGUCAGCAAUGGGAUCUGGAGCCAGAGCCAGGAACUGACCCCGUGCUGGACGCUGCUCUCGCCCCCUCACGGACUCGUGGACACAGUGGACGUCUACUAAUUCACUUAAGGAAACCCGCCAUCCUCACACAUGUGAGGGGCUCUUGCUUCUUUCCCCGAAGGAGGACCCGCGGGGCCACACGCCCCCAGAACCCUCACUUGGUGUUGUUGACCCCUCAACUCCAGGCCCACUGAAUGUUCUGUCUCCAAAGCUGGAGUCGAGAAGCUGAUCUCCAACAGCCGUGGAGAAACAGUGGAGCCUGAGAGGGGCAGGCACAGGGCGCAGAGAGCAGGCCGGGCGCCCCUGCCCAGCCGGACGCCCAGAGCCUCCAUCCUUGCUGG